GAUGAUGAAGGCCUUCGGGUUGUAAAGUCCUUUCGGCGGGGAAGAUGAUGACGGUACCCGCAGAAGAAGCCCCGGCUAACUUCGUGCCAGCAGCCGCGGUAAUACGAAGGGGGCUAGCGUUGUUCGGAAUUACUGGGCGUAAAGGGCGCGUAGGCUGUGCUGCAAGUCAGGCGUGAAAGGCCCGGGCUCAACCUGGGAACUGCGCAUGAUACUGCGGCGCUUGAAGACGGGAGGGGAUGGCGGAAUUCCCAGUGUAGAGGUGAAAUUCGUAGAUAUUGGGAAGAACACCGGUGGCGAAGGCGGCCAUCUGGCCCGUGAUUGACGCUGAGGCGCGAAAGCGUGGGGAGCAAACAGGAUUAGAUACCCUGGUAGUCCACGCCGUAAACGAUGAGUGCUAGACGUCGGGGAGCUUGCUCUUCGGUGUCGCCGCUAACGCAUUAAGCACUCCGCCUGGGGAGUACGGUCGCAAGA
rnacentral:rRNA from 1 species